rnacentral:misc_RNA from 1 species
UUUGUCUGUGCAAAAUGGUCCAGGAAUGGGAAGUUAUGGAGACCUGAUGGCAGAUUUAGAGGAGUCGUUGUUGAGCCAACGGUCAAGUUAUACAUCAGGUUCUGGUUUGACAAAAUUAAAGGAAGAUCGUUUCCGAAGCCAUAUCCAGCAUCGCCUAACUGAACUUGAAGACUUGCCAACCAGCAGAGGUGAGGACUUGCAAUCGAAGUGCUUGCUUGAACUUUAUGAAUUAAAGUUAGCAGAUUUACAACAAAAAGUUCGGUCUGAAGUGAGUUCUGAAUAUUGGCUUCGCCUGCAUUGCG